rnacentral:rRNA from 1 species
UACGUAGGGUGCAAGCGUUGUCCGGAAUUAUUGGGCGUAAAGAGCGUGUAGGCGGCCCGACCAGUCCGCUGUGAAAGUCCAGGGCUCAACCCUGGAAUGCCGGUGGAUACUGUCGGGCUAGAGUCCGGAAGGGGCGAGUGGAAUUCCUGGUGUAGCGGUGAAAUGCGCAGAUAUCAGGAGGAACACCAAUGGCGAAGGCAGCUCGCUGGGACGGUACUGACACUGAGACGCGAAAGCGUGGGGAGCAAACAGG